rnacentral:tRNA from 1 species
GCUGGGCACGUAGCUCAGAGGCAGAGUGCUUGCCUAGCACGCAGGAGGCCCUGGGUUCAAUCCCUAGCACAGCA